rnacentral:rRNA from 1 species
UACGUAGGGUCCGAGCGUUGUCCGGAAUUAUUGGGCGUAAAGGGCUCGUAGGCGGUUUGUUGCGUCGGAAGUGAAAACCAGGUGCUUAACACCUGGCCUGCUUUCGAUACGGGCAGACUAGAGGCAUUCAGGGGAGAACGGAAUUCCUGGUGUAGCGGUGAAAUGCGCAGAUAUCAGGAGGAACACCGGUGGCGAAGGCGGUUCUCUGGGAAUGUUCUGACGCUGAGGAGCGAAAGUGUGGGGAG